rnacentral:lncRNA from 1 species
GUCCAAUGUCCUUGACCUCAUUUUCAUGGUUCAGUGACUACUUGAAAAAAAAGUUAAGAUUUUUUGUAAUGUUAAAUUCUCUCUUAUUAUAAGUAAUAGGAUAACUAUAUUUGGUAUGUGCAUACCUUGCAAGGUCCUCAUGCCCGUCAGACAGUUUUCACUUGACCUCGACCUCAUUUCAUGGAUCAGUGAACAAGGUUAAGUUUUAGUGGUCAAGUCCAUAUCUCAGAUACUAUAAGCAAUA